AACGAACGCUGGCGGCAUGCCUAACACAUGCAAGUCGAACGAGACCUUCGGGUCUAGUGGCGCACGGGUGCGUAACGCGUGGGAACCUGCCCUUAGGUUCGGAAUAACUCCCCGAAAGGGGUGCUAAUACCGGAUAAUGUCUUCGGACCAAAGAUUUAUCGCCUUUGGAUGGGCCCGCGUUGGAUUAGCUAGUUGGUAGGGUAAAAGCCUACCAAGGCGACGAUCCAUAGCUGGUCUGAUAGGAUGAUCAGCCACACUGGUACUGAGACACGGCCCAGACUCCUACGGGAGGCAGCAGUGGAGAAUAUUGGACAAUGGGCGAAAGCCUGAUCCAGCAGUGCCGCGUGAGUGAUGAAGGCCUUAGGGUUGUAAAGCUCUUUUACCCGGGAUGAUAAUGACAGUACCGGGAGAAUAAGCUCCGGCUAACUCCGUG
rnacentral:rRNA from 1 species